GACGAACGCUGGCGGCGUGCUUAACACAUGCAAGUCGAACGGAAAGGCCCUGCUUUUGUGGGGUGCUCGAGUGGCGAACGGGUGAGUAACACGUGAGUAACCUGCCCUUGACUUUGGGAUAACUUCAGGAAACUGGGGCUAAUACCGGAUAGGAGCUCCUGCUGCAUGGUGGGGGUUGGAAAGUUUCGGCGGUUUGGGAUGGACUCGCGGCUUAUCAGCUUGUUGGUGGGGUAGUGGCUUACCAAGGCUUUGACGGGUAGCCGGCCUGAGAGGGUGACCGGCCACAUUGGGACUGAGAUGCGGCCCAGACUCCUACGGGAGGCAGCAGUGGGGAAUAUUGCACAAUGGGCGGAAGCCUGAUGCAGCAACGCCGCGUGCGGGAUGACGGCCUUCGGGUUGUAAACCGCUUUCGCCUGUGACGAAGCGUGAGUGACGGUAAUGGGUAAAGAAGCACCGGCUAACUACGUG
rnacentral:rRNA from 1 species